rnacentral:rRNA from 1 species
UAUUGCACAAUGGGCGCAAGCCUGAUGCAGCGACGCCGCGUGGAGGAUGAAGGCUUUCGGGUCGUAAACUCCUGCCUGGGGGGAUGAAUACUGACAGUACCCCCGGAGGCAGCCCCGUGUAACUACGUGCCAGCAGCCGCGGUAAUACGUAGGGGGCGAGCGUUGUCCGGAUUUACUGGGUUUAAAGGGUACGUAGGCGGACUUUUAAGUCAGGGGUGAAAUCCCGAGGCUCAACCUCGGAACUGCCUUUGAAACUACUAGUCUUGAAUUAUGUUGAGGUUGGCGGAAUACAACAUGUAGCGGUGAAAUGCAUAGAUAUGUUGUGGAACACCGAUUGCGAAGGCAGCUGACUGAACAUAUAUUGACGCUGAGGUACGAAAGCGUGGGGAUCAAAC